rnacentral:rRNA from 1 species
GACGGGUGAGUAACACGUAGGAAUCUGCCUAGUAGUGGGGGAUAACUUGGGGAAACUCAAGCUAAUACCGCAUACGCUCUACGGAGGAAAGCGGGGGAUCUUCGGACCUCGCGCUAUUAGAUGAGCCUGCGUCCGAUUAGCUAGUUGGUGGGGUAAAGGCCCACCAGGGAGACGAUCGGUAGCUGGUCUGAGAGGACGAUCAGCCACACUGGAACUGAGACACGUGACAGACUCCUACGGGA